UACGAAGGGGGCUAGCGUUGCUCGGAAUCACUGGGCGUAAAGGGUGCGUAGGCGGGUCUUUAAGUCAGGGGUGAAAUCCUGGAGCUCAACUCCAGAACUGCCUUUGAUACUGAGGAUCUUGAGUACGGGAGAGGUGAGCGGAACUGCGAGUGUAGAGGUGAAAUUCGUAGAUAUUCGCAAGAACACCAGUGGCGAAGGCGGCUCACUGGCCCGUUACUGACGCUGAGGCACGAAAGCGUGGGGAGCAAACAGG
rnacentral:rRNA from 1 species